AGUGAACGCUAGCGGUAGGCCUAACACAUGCAAGUCGAACGGCAGCACAGUAAGAGCUUGCUCUUACGGGUGGCGAGUGGCGGACGGGUGAGGAAUACAUCGGAAUCUACUUUUUCGUGGGGGAUAACGUAGGGAAACUUACGCUAAUACCGCAUACGACCUACGGGUGAAAGCAGGGGAUCUUCGGACCUUGCGCGAUUGAAUGAGCCGAUGUCGGAUUAGCUAGUUGGCGGGGUAAAGGCCCACCAAGGCGACGAUCCGUAGCUGGUCUGAGAGGAUGAUCAGCCACACUGGAACUGAGACACGGUCCAGACUCCUACGGGAGGCAGCAGUGGGGAAUAUUGGACAAUGGGCGCAAGCCUGAUCCAGCCAUACCGCGUGGGUGAAGAAGGCCUUCGGGUUGUAAAGCCCUUUUGUUGGGAAAGAAAAGCAGCAGGUUAAUACCCCGCUGUUCUGACGGUACCCAAAGAAUAAGCACCGGCCAACUUCGUG
rnacentral:rRNA from 1 species